CUACGGGGGGCAGCAGUGAGGAAUUUUGCGCAAUGGGGGGAACCCUGACGCAGCAACGCCGCGUGAGUGAUGAAGGCCUUCGGGUCGUAAAGCUCUGUCAAGUGGGAAGAACAUAUCUAUAUUUAAUAUAUAUUGAUACUGACGGUACCACAAGAGGAAGCACCGGCUAACUCCGUGCCAGCAGCCGCGGUAAUACGGGGGGUGCAAGCGUUAUUCGGAAUCAUUGGGCGUAAAGGGCGCGCAGGCGGCCUGGUAAGUCAGAUGUGAAAGCCCGGGGCUCAACCCCGGAAGUGCAUUUGAAACUAUGAGGCUUGAGUAUGGGAGAGGGAAGUGGAAUUCCUGGUGUAGCGGUGAAAUGCGUAGAUAUCAGGAGGAACACCGGUGGCGAAGGCGACUUCCUGGACCAAUACUGACGCUGAGGCGCGAAGGCGUGGGGAGCAAACAGGAUUAGAUACCCCGGUAGUC
rnacentral:rRNA from 1 species